UUAUGGCUAUAUCACGUUGAAAGACCUGUUCUCGUACGAUCACCGAAGUUAAACAACGUUGAGCCUAGUCAGUACCUAGAUAGGCGACGGCUUGAAAA